rnacentral:rRNA from 1 species
GAUGAACGCUGGCGGCGUGCCUAAUACAUGCAAGUCGAGCGAACGGACGCGGAGCUUGCUUCUCUCAUGUUAGCGGCGGACGGGUGUGUAACACGUGUAUAACCUACCUAUAAGACUGGGAUCACUUCGGGAAACCGGAGCUUAUACCGUAUGAUCUUUUGAAGCGCAUUGUUCAAAAGUGAAAGACGGUCUUGCUGUCUCUUAUAGCUGGAUCUGGGCUGCUUUAGCUAGUUGGUGAGGUCACGGCUUAUCAAGGCGACGAUGCGUAGACGACCUGAGAGGGGGGUCGGCGACACUGGAACUGAGACAGGGUCCAUGCUCCUACGGGAGGCAGCAGAAGGGUAUGGUCCGCAAUAGGGGAAAGCCUUGCGGAGCAACGCCACGCGAGUGAUGAAGGUCUUCGGUGCGUAAAACCCUGUUAUGGGGGAAGAACAUAUGUGUAAGGAACUGUGCAGAUCUUGACGGUACCUAAUCAGAAAGCAACGGCUAACUACGUG